UACGUAGGGUGCAAGCGUUGUCCGGAAUUAUUGGGCGUAAAGAGCUCGUAGGCGGUUUGUCGCGUCUGCUGUGAAAACUGGGGGCUCAACCCCCAGCCUGCAGUGGGUACGGGCAGACUAGAGUGCGGUAGGGGAGAUUGGAAUUCCUGGUGUAGCGGUGGAAUGCGCAGAUAUCAGGAGGAACACCGAUGGCGAAGGCAGAUCUCUGGGCCGUAACUGACGCUGAGGAGCGAAAGCAUGGGGAGCGAUCAGG
rnacentral:rRNA from 1 species